rnacentral:lncRNA from 1 species
UAGAUCAUUUGUUUCCCAACAGUAAAAAAAAAAAAAAAACACACCACAGGAAGUUGCAGACUAUUGACUAGCUGGAAAUUGAACCACAUGCAUGGAACCCUAAAGCCACAAAUAAAAAGGGAUUUGGUGGCCUCCAGGGUCUGCCAUCAUCAGCAGCCAGCAAGAUGUUUCCAGGCAGCUCGGAGGCAAACAAGUAUUGUUGAGUGUCAUAUAUGACAACGUGCAAAGUCUUUUUUUUUCCUUUUCCCCACUAUGUACUUCGGUGGACGAAACGGACCCGACCCAACUAGUUUAAAAAACAAGGGUCUGUCCUGUUAACUGAAACAAAACAAAAUCUACCAAACAUAAAAAAACAAAACGACUGACAAAAGGUAAGUACAUUUAGAUGAAAUAUAAACAGUUAUUUUAAGUAAAUAAAUAAAGAUUUUUCCUGGUAACCGUAAGGUUGUUUGAAUCCCAAAAGGAGCGUUCUGUGAGCUAUAUGCAUUUUGUCCUGGAGCAAAGCACUUAAACCAAGGUUAUUCAUGGGGGAUUGUGUCUAUAAUGGCGGACGUUUGUUUUAGGAGGAAAAAAAAAAAGAUUAUUUACUUGUUACUCUUAAAGUUUGUGGUAUUAUAUGAAUAGCAAGGCAAACUGGUAUGAUAAUCAUGAAUAUUGACUGAACUCAUCAUCAUCUUCAUAAUCCACCCCCACUAGCUCUUUCAUUUGUAACACCCAGUUGUUGUCUCCAGUCCCUGGGAUGCUGGUUCAGGAGUUGAGAACAGGCCCAGGUACCUGAAGAAGCCUUGAUAAAGCUCUCUGAGCCCUCUCCUCGCCUGUUACCUUGUUACUAAUAUUCUCGUCCACAGGCCCAGGUACCUGAAGAAGCCUUGAUAAAGCUCUCUGAGCCCUCUCCUCGCCUGUUACCUUGUUACUAAUAUUCUCGUCCCUUUACCUCAGGGAUUUGGUGGCCUCCAGGGUCUGCCAUCAUCAGCAGCCAGCAAGAUGUUUCCAGGCAGCUCGGAGGCAAACAAGUAUUGUUGAGUGUCAUAUAUGACAACGUGCAAGUCUUUUUUUUUUCCCCACCAUGAUCUGGCAAGACGCCACAUGUUAAAGGGCAUCAUGCCUUUCCCACCGUAAGUUUAUUUCCUUUCAGAUGUGUUUUUCCUUUUCAGCCACAAUAUAAUGGAGAUAAUACUGGAUAAAUAUUUAUGCAGAAGAUUUAAAGUGAGCAUUAAAGUUUAAAUUGCUUUUAUGCACAAUAUUAUCUUUUAAUAAGAUAUUUAUUAAUUUAUUAAUACAGAUUUAUUAUUUGUUUUUUUUAUUAAUUUAUUGAACUACCUUUUUCUAUUUUAUUUUUUUUUUUAAUUAAACAGGUCUUUUAAUAUAC